rnacentral:rRNA from 1 species
GAAAGCAUCUAAGCGGGAAGCGAGCCCUGAGAUGAGUCAUCCCUGACCCCUUGAGGGUUCUAAAGGGCCGUUGGAGACCACAACGUUGAUAGGUGGGGUGUGUAAGCGCGGCGACGUGUUGAGCUAACCCAUACUAAUUACCCGUGAGGCUUAACCAUACAACACCCAAGAAGUGUUCUG